GAUGAAGAACGCAGCGAAAUGCGAUAAGUAGUGUGAAUUGCAGAAUUCAGUGAAUCAUCGAAUCUUUGAACGCACAUUGCGCCCCUUGGUAUCCCGAGGGGCAUGCCUGUUCGAGCGUCAUUUCACCACUCAAGCCUGGCUUGGUGUUGGGCGACGUCCCCUUUGGGGACGCGCCUCGAAACGCUCGGCGGCGUGGCACCGGCUUUAAGCGUAGCAGAAUCUUUCGCUUUGGAAGUCGGGGCCCCGUCCGCCGGAAGACCUACUCGCAAGGUUGACCUCGGAUCAGGCAGGGAUACCCGCUGAACUUAAGCAUAUCAAUAAGCGGAGGA
rnacentral:misc_RNA from 1 species